ensembl:lncRNA
CUCUCUUCAGAAGCGGCGCGGCGCGGUUCCCCGCGGUUGGGAGCAGCAGCCAGCAGGCUGCCAGAGAUCCGACCGCGCCUUCCAGCGCACAGAGGGACGCAACAGGGACGGACGGUCCUUCAUGCCAUACAGAAGGACGGAGCCUGCGCGUCCAUGGAGUGGUGCUGGGCAAGGCUGGAAACGCAAAGCCUCCGCAGAAGCUGAUGCGAGCGGCCUUCCAUCAAAGCGCAGCCUUGCAGAAAGGCAAGGCAGAAGCGCCCAGUGUGGCACAGCACCCAAGAGAGAGAUUGGUGCUGAGCCAAAUGACAAAAUCUAUGUCAAAGUGGUCCAGCAGGUCCAUACUGAGAGAGCUUCUCAACAGGCAGCAGCUCAAGCUCCUCUGCAGGCUGGAGGUCCUCCUAGAAGAGCAGGUCCCAGCACAGGGGGAAGACCUUCCCCUGCCGUGUGCCCCCGCUCUGUCUCCAACACCCAUGGCUGGAUAUAAACGCAAGGGCUUGGAGGAAGAGAAACCAACAGCAGCUCAGCAGCCUUCCAAUAAGAGAGUGAGGGGGCCGAGUGGAGACAGCGUGCCGGCUCCAGCAGCACACCCUGGGCCUGCUGCAGCGCGGAGCUCCAAGCAAAGAGCAAGAAGACAGAGACAGAAAGAGAGGAGAGUGGAGCUGAAGAAGGCUGCCCUCAGAGCUGCCGCUGCACGUGCAGAGGCCUCCGCAGUGGACAGCCUUGUGGAGAUGAUGCAGAAGCUGCAGCUGAAGGACUGAGAGGAGGAGCGUCAGCAGGCAGCAGCUUCUGCAGUGCGCGGCGUUACAGGGCAGCGCUGAGUGCCGCCCAUCUCAGCACUCCACCUUCAAACGUAGUCAAUAAACACCAGUCAAAUUUAUAGAUUCACAGAGAGCGCACGGCCUGAUUUGUCCAGCGGCACUCGGAGAGCU